UAAUAGCGUAUACUUAAGUUGUUGCAGUUAAAAAGCUCGUAGUCGGAUGUCGGGCUUGGGCAGGCUGUCGGCUUUUGUCGGACGGCAGGCUCGGGCCUUUCUGCCUGGGGACCGCGUCACACUUCACUGUGGGGCGUCGGGACGCAGGCCGUUUACUUUGAAAAAAUUAGAGUGUUCAAAGCGGGCCUACGCUUGAAUACAUUAGCAUGGAAUAAUGGAAUAGGACUUUGGUGCCAUUCUGUUGGUUUAUGGAACCGAAGUAAUGAUUAAUAGGGACAGUUGGGGCCGUUUAUAUUUCGUUGUCAGAGGUGAAAUUCUUGGAUUUACGAGAGAUAAACUUCUGCGAAAGCAUUCGGCAAGGAUGUUUUCAUUGA
rnacentral:rRNA from 1 species